GCACUCUUAGCUCAACUGGAUAGAGUACGAGCCUUCGAAGCUCUGGGUUGGGGGUUCGAGUCCCUCAGAGUGCACCA
rnacentral:tRNA from 1 species